GGGACAACAGGAGGAGGGGGUAAGUACGAAUUCCCCUCCCCAGCUAACUCCUAACUUGGACCUAGGGUUAACAAGGGAGAUGUUAACCCCCACUGACCCCCACGUUCCCCUGGCUACUGAGCCGGAUUAUGUCCCAAGCCCCCCAGAGGAAGAGCUGGCAGCUGGGCAGAGUGCAGUCGGCCUCUGCCCUCCCUUUGUCCCUUGUCCAGAGCCUGAUGUCCUGCAGGCUAUACCAGCAGAAGAGCUGGCAUCAGGGCAGACCGCCGCUGGCCUCUGCCCUACCGAUCCCCUUGUCACAGGACUGGCCUGCACCCCCCCUCCUCCCAGCAGAAGCGCUGGCAUCAGGGCAGAGCGCCGCUGGCCUCUGCCCCUCAAGUCCCCACAGCGUGUUGCCCCAUCACCCC